UGACAGCAUCCCAAAAAACAUGAAGCAAAAAAUGCCAGGCCCUCAGAUCAACAUGCAAAACCUUACACCACAACAUCAUCCUCUUUCUCUUGGUCAAAAUAAGUCACAGGAACAGCCUGCAUUCUGGGAGGAAAGGGACUGUGAAGUAUAGAGCUAAUGACUGCAUUUACAGCAGGUUCAGUGAUAACACGAAGGCACUCGAGAAUGCUUCUGUGUUUCAGAGAUCGUGAGAUCCGUUCUAAUCACCUAUACCUAGACUUGGCUAUGAGCAGUAUCAGUCAUCUUUUCAUACCUCAAAUCCUUAAUUAUCCAAACCAUCCCCUCCUACCUUUACAGUGUACACAUUUACAUGACAAAUCAAGCAGUCAGCCCUCCAAGCCGCUGAGCCUUCAUUUGCUUGAUUACAUACCUCUCCUUACCGUUUUCAAUGAUCUUGGUCACU
rnacentral:lncRNA from 1 species